UACGUAGGGUGCAAGCGUUGUCCGGAAUUAUUGGGCGUAAAGAGCUCGUAGGCGGUCUGUCACGUCGGCUGUGAAAACCCGAGGCUCAACCUCGGGCCUGCAGUCGAUACGGGCAAACUAGAGUACUGCAGGGGAGACUGGAAUUCCUGGUGUAGCGGUGAAAUGCGCAGAUAUCAGGAGGAACACCGGUGGCGAAGGCAGCUCUCUGGGACGGUACUGACGCUGAGACGCGAAAGCGUGGGGAGCGAACAGG
rnacentral:rRNA from 1 species